rnacentral:rRNA from 1 species
AGUAAUGCAUCGGAACAUUUCCUGUAGCGGGGGAUAACCUCGAGAAAUCGAGGCUAAUACCGCAUACGUCCUACGGGAGAAAGCGGGGGACCGCAAGGCCUCGCACUAUAGGAGUGGCCGAUGUCGGAUUAGCUAGUUGGCGGGGUAAAGCCCACCAAGGCAACGAUCCGUAGCUGGUCUGAGAGGAUGAUCAGCCACACUGGGACUGAGACACGGCCCAG